rnacentral:lncRNA from 1 species
GCUAAGAUGUCCUGGGGGCAGGGUAAGAUGCACAUGGUUCUGUCUGUUCCUUGAGUAUCCUAUGUUUGCCUUUUGGUGUUUGCUGGUCUUGUCCGGCGUGUCUUCAGCACCUGGAUCCAAAACUGCAUUUAGAAAGAAGACGCCCUGUUAGGCAAUGAACAUUUUGUGGUCAGCUUGCUAAGAGUAGUCUCUGAACUGCAUAGUGAUGUCCAGAUGAAAUAUUUAUUGGAGUGCUAAUUGUCGAAAGCUCUGUUUCCUUUUCCCAAUAUAUAUAUAUAUUUUUAAAACCUACCAUUCUACUUUACAGGAUGGAAGAGACAAAAACGAUUUGCUGAUUUUUUUUUCAGAACAAAACCGCUUUGGCGUUCAAAAAGGCAUCAGUAAAUAACAAAUUUGCAUUUUUGAAUUCAAACUUAGCUAUUCGUGGAAGAUUACGUUCUUAAAUCACAUAGGAAAUUUGUUAACUGAUAUUUUCUUAUUGUCUAGCCUAAUUUCUAUCUUGUAUCUUGAUAUAUACAUAUAUAUUGUUGACUUGUUUAGGAUCAUGACUUUUUUGCUCCAUAACUAUUUGUCAUGGAUAAAUUUUGUUGUAUUUAAGUUCAAAUUAGCUAGAGGCGUGAUCCUAACUGGGUUUGAGUUUUAGUAAGGUCUAUAUUCAGAUGUUUCUUCAAUCAUUAUGCAUACUUCUUCCUUAUCUAAUCUCUUGUAAAGGAUAGGUUCCUUUCUGUCUGACAUAUUGAGUUCUGAUUGUUAGGGGUUACAACUAUUGCUGGGGGAAAAUCAGGCAGAGGAGGGCAUGUUGACGGGCCAAGUGACGAGGCAAAAUUUUCUACUGAUUUUGAAGUUCGUUACAUUGGCAGUAGCUGCUCGCUUCUGGUGAUUGACAGAGGAAACCAAGCAAUCCGGGAGAUUCAGCUCCACUUUGAUGACUGUGUAUACCAGUAUGAAGCUGGUUUUCCUCUAGGUAUAUUAUACAUUGCUCAAAUUUUUCUGCAAUCAUCGCAGGACCUGAAAACAUAUGACUGAAACUUACCACCUAAACAUGCAGUUUAAACUCUAUAAUACAACUGAUCAUAUUAACUUUCCAUGCCUGCAGGAGUGGCACUACUUCUUGCUGCCGCAUUCUUUGGCUACAUGCUUGCACUGCUCCAACGCCGAGUUUUAGGGAUGUAUUCAAAUGGAGAUGUAAGUACCACGUGCCUAACACAGUUUUUAUUUUGGGUGGGAAAGAGAAAAAAAAUCAUGUACCUUCCCUGCCAGAUUGGCAGGAUUAGCAAAUAUGGCUAGGACUACUACAGUGGUCCUUGAGCCUGCUGUAACAUAGCAGGCCAGCACAUGGAUUUUGUUGUCAUCAGUCUUUUGUCUCUCCUGGUAUUGGUGUCCAUCAUUCCGGUGACCUCGAUCUGGGUCCUCCCCGCCCCCAAAUGCCUCCAGCCAGCCAAGAAUUACCAGCUUUAUGUGCCAAAACAAUUUUUUGUGUGUCUAGAUUAACAUUGUUCUGCUUAAUUCGAGUUAGACCAGAGUACUAAAACAACUUAUAUAUUCUUGUUAGCUACAUUGUGCAUUUUGAAAGGCAUGUAGACAUCUAGUUGUUUGUUUACGAUGGAAGGUUCGUGGAGCAUUAUCUAAAAAAGAAAACAGGGAACCACACAGUUGUUCAGUUUUAGUUUACACGCAGUUGUUCAGUUUUAGUUUAUCCUAGUAUUCUUCUUGCAGCACAUCGUUCUGAAUGCAAAUUUAACAAAUGCAGGAGCAGGAAGACGAGAGUCCAGUGAAAGCUAAACUAUCUAGCAUCCCACCUCCGUACCAGAAGCCACUGAAGUCUUCUCUUCGCCCCCCGCUGAUUCCAAAUGAUGACGAACCCGUGAAACAAGAGGAGGAAGGGCUCUUCACGUCGAUUGGCAAACUCGUG